UUUAUCCAUUGCCUUUUAAAUUUUUUGUGCUUAAACUAGACUCAUCCAUGGUGAUUUUGGUAUAGAGUUUGUGAAUUUAUCAUCUCUGGUUUGUGAGUUAUGAUUUUUUGAAUUAGGGUGUGACAAUUUGUGUCACACCAUUGAUGUGCAACUUCAUGAUUUUCAAUACCAUGCCUCUUGACCUCAAAUUGCUUUGAAUUUUUGCAUGAUUGAGCUUAUGUAUGUCUAGUUUAUAUGUGAGUUUUCUUGGAAUUAUUUGUGGCAUUUCC
rnacentral:lncRNA from 1 species